CUUUUCACUAUCACUAACGGAUGUUGACUACAGUACAGUAUUAAUAAACUCUUGUCACAUACUGUAUUUACUGUAACUUGCAAUAAGGCAGCAGAUGAAAGGGUCUCUAUCUGCAGGCAGCCUGACCUAGAAUGAAGUGCAGCAUUCCUAAGCUCACUCUUAUAUGGAAAAGCAAAGGACAGCCCAUAGGUGCU